rnacentral:lncRNA from 1 species
UAGGACACAAGAGCACAUGCAUCCAUGACCACGUUGGGCACCACCCUCAAUGGAACAGCAGUUGGAGGCAUCUUUGCCUUGGCCUGCUUGGAAAUGAGCAGGCAUCAGAGGCAGAUCCAGGACCUGACAGGACCAGGGAAGGAGUGGAGAAGUCAAUCUUAGCCGCCUUUACCAUUAGUCAUGGACGGGCCUUUUAGAUUUGCUCUUAUCAGUGUCUGGGAAAUUGGAUAAAAUUUUUAAUGCCACUCCCGACUUUCCUUUCUCCCUGUAACUACUCCUCUACUGAAUGUGUACUCUAACCACAGAAUGCUGUGGUAGGUCAAAUGGAGACUGAAAAAUAAGAAAAUGAAAAAUGGACCAAAGAUGCUUAUAAACAAAGCAUGACAAGACAUUCCAGUUUUCGAUGGCAGGGUCAUAGAACUUACACAUUGAUUGUACCUGCCAAAUGAGUUAGUUGGAAAGGGAACACAAUUUCUCUUCCAAAGAAGAGACUCCUUUAUUUAUAAUAGGAAAUCGAGUGGUGAAAAGAAGGCAGGCUUUCUUGAUCUUUCACCAGAGAGAGAAAGUUACAUAACCACAGGGACCUGCAUUAACAAACUGGGAUAUUGAAUUCACCAUGAACAUGGGCUGCCAUCACUGACGAAAAUGUGGGUCACUCCAGCAGGCUUCAUAUCGCAAAAGAGGUAAUCCUGGUAACAGUCACUAAUAAGGCCAAGUCCCUGUCAACUUCCUACAAUUCCUGCUCUGUCAUUAGUCCUCUCCCAGAAAUAUUUAAGGAACACAUGAAAUAGAUUUCUCCAUCUGGGCAAAAGUCAGCUGUGAGAGCUGGGAUAGCAACAGAACGCUGUGUGGUUGAUCCUGUCCUGCUGCAUCCUUCGUGGUGUCACCAAGCACAGGCUUUUGUACUUGUCUCGAAGAGUACUGGGCAAAAAAAAAGGCCUGUCGAAUUUGCUGUAGGACCUUAUUGGGUUCUGUGACGUAUGUAAUUGGCCUUGCAGAGGAAGCGGCUUCCAUGGGACUUUAUGCCUUGGGAUUUCAGAGACUUACCUGUGCAUCCUCCAGGUGGGGAGGGCUCAUGCUUUCUGGAGUGAGACAGGUCCUGCAGCAGUCUGAGAUGUAUAAACACAGAAAACCUGUCCACCCAAACUGCAUUUGGAAUGACAGUGCUCACUCUACACAUUAUCAUGCUCAUUUCCCAAAGAGAAAAUGUUUUCCACUGCAUUUUGGCCUCCUUUCCUGAACCCAAGCUUGAUGUUUUUUACCUUGCUCUGCAGUGACUUCAUGCCGUGUGAGGCUGUGUGCAGCAGCAUCAUAUACAGUUUCAUACCAGUCACCAAGACCCAGGGUGCAGCCCCCCAUACCAGAGGCCCACAGCCUCACACCUGAUCUGACAAUACAGGGGAAUGAUCGGCACAAAGCUGCUGAGGAAAUGGCAUGUUACUGAGCCUUGAUGGCAUUACUGGCACUUUGAGUUUUACCGUUUCCUUAAAAUCACAGUACUGGAAUCAGAUGAAAUUUGCUUUCUAAGCUGCAGCCACUCGUCAUGUGCAGAAUUCUGCUGCCCACCCAAGUCCUGCUUAAACAGCCGCAUUUUAUAAGCUGGUACGGGAGCUCUGCAACAACCUUCACAGAGAAAGGAUCUGCUGCUUUAUUUGUAUACAAAAAGAAAAAGACAGUCCAAACUUUUCAGAAUCCCUUAUUGUCAUCUGCUGAAAGGGCAAGUUGUAGUUAGCAUGUUAAUCCUUGUAAAAAAUGCAUUAACUUUUCAUUUAGGGUGAAAUGCUUCCAGCUAAAAGACCUAAAGUGACUCAAUUAUGAUUCUUCGUCAAAGAAAACAUAAAAGCUGUUUGCAUUACAGUGUAAAGUGAAAUACAAAAAUAAAAUUAUUCUAAGGAUGCUCAUGUUUAAUCCAUGAUUUAUCCAAGGCAGAGAAUGCCAGAGAAUUCCUCUCUUGAGAGUCUCUGUUCCUGGCUUAGAACACUUGAGUAUUUCCCCUCCAGAAAACAUAUUUUAUCCUGAGCUUUCUUUCUCACUGAACUGCAUCAUCAUUUUCUAAACAGAAUGCUGAAGAGCUGACUUUGAGUCUGACAGGCCCUGACCCAGGAAAUGAGCCCUGCUUGUGGGCAG